UACGAAGGGGGCUAGCGUUGCUCGGAAUGACUGGGCGUAAAGGGCGCGUAGGCGGCUUGGUUUGUCAGGCGUGAAAGUCUUGGGCUCAACCUGGGGACGGCGGUUGGGACGGCUGGGCUAGAGUGGGGAAGAGGGUCGUGGAAUUCCCAGUGUAGAGGUGAAAUUCGUAGAUAUUGGGAAGAACACCGGUGGCGAAGGCGGCGACCUGGUCCUUGACUGACGCUGAGGCGCGAGAGCGUGGGGAGCAAACAGG
rnacentral:rRNA from 1 species